UUAAAUACGUGGAUGGGGUCGAGGGCUGAUCCAUAAGGGCUAUGGCCUAGGUGUGCAGCCUCCAUUGCAUUCGGACUCACCUAACAUCUCUCCAAGUGGGAGAGUGCACAUCAUUAUUUAAGGCAGCGGGGGCCUGUGCUCGCGCGGCUCCUA